rnacentral:lncRNA from 1 species
GGAUUUCCCCCAUUUCCUGUUCCCCUUUCCCCCAUUUCCUGUUCCCCAUUUCCCUCAUUUCCCAUUUCCUGUUCCCGUUUCCUGUUUCCAUUUCCUGUUCCCCUUUCCCCCAUUUCCCAUUCCCUGUUCCCAUUCCCUGUUCCCAUUUCCUGUUCCCCUUUCCCCCAUUUCCUGUUCCCCAUUUCCCUCAUUUCCCGUUUCCUGUUCCCAUUCCCUGUUCCCAUUCCCUGUUCCCAUUCCCUGUUCCCAUUCCCUGUUCCCAUUUCCCGUUUCCUGUUCCCAUUUCCCAUUUCCUGUUCCCGUUUCCCAUUUCCUGUUCCCGUUUCCUGUUCCCAUUCCCUGUUCCCAUUUCCCAUUCCCUGUUCCCAUUCCCUGUUCCCAUUCCCUGUUCCCAUUCCCUGUUCCCAUUUCCCGUUUCCUGUUCCCAUUUCCCAUUUCCUGUUCCCGUUUCCUGUUCCCAUUUCCUGUUCCCCUUUCCCCCAUUUCCCAUUCCCUGUUCCCAUUCCCUGUUCCCAUUUCCUGUUCCCCUUUCCCCCAUUUCCUGUUCCCCAUUUCCCUCAUUUCCUGUUUCCUGUUCCCAUUCCCUGUUCCCAUUUCCUGUUCCCAUUCCCUGUUCCCGUUUCCUGUUUCCUGUUCCCAUUCCCUGUUCCCAUUCCCUGUUCCCAUUCCCCAUUCCCUGUUCCCAUUUCCCAUUCCCUGUUCCCAUUUCCUGUUCCCGUUUCCUGUUCCCUUUCCCCAGGACCACGGCGGUGCCCUGGGCCCGGAGGAGUUCAAGGCCUGUUUGAUCAGCCUGGGCUACGACGUCGAGAACGACCGGCAGCCGAAACGCCGCGCGGACUCCAACGACUUGGGCGCUCUGCUGGGCGCCGCGGGAUCCGGCCUGGUAACGAUCCCGUUCCUCUUCCUCUUCCUCUUCCUCUUCCUCUUCCUCACGCCUUUUAUUCCUUUCCGUCUCGUCACUUUAGAUUUCCUUUCAAAUGUUUAUUUCUGUAUGUUUUUUUCCCAAUAGGUUUAGAUUUCUUUCAGUUGUUUUUAUAAUUUUUUC